CCAAUUGACUUCUCAAAUCUGUCUCAAAACGGUACUAAUCCAGGAUUAGCCCUGAGCCUUUUUGUUUCUAUAUUGCUUUGCAAUGUUUUAACCAAUGCCUUUAUCUCAAUUUUACUCCAGAAUGUUCCUUUUUAAUCAAUGUAUUUUUAUUUACGUAUUCUUGAAAUUCAUUUUGAUGGAAAAUUCUGCUAGGGUAACAAAUAGUCUUUGUGGGUUUCUUUAUUUUAUGUUCAUCUUUUCAAACCUUUUAAAAAGGUAGCUCCUGCAAUGAAGGGAUUUGCCCCGACAGCUGGCGAAUGUUUUGGUAAGUUCGAUGAUCCUCGUGAAUGUAUUAUUAUUUGAUGAUCAUAUUAGGAGUGAGCAUUUUCAGUUUUGUUUGAUUUUUGAUAAAUAAAACCAGCCAAACUGAAUUUAUAUAUAUUCAGAAUCAGACCGAACUAGAAACUGAUUCCAACCAUCUUGUUUUGGUUUAGUUUGGUUUUGUAACGUAAAAAGCUGUAAAAA